UACGUAGGGAGCGAGCGUUAUCCGGAAUUAUUGGGUUUAAAGGGUGCGCAGGCGGAGGUGCAAGUCAGCGGUAAAAGCCCGGGGCUCAACCCCGGCGAGCCGUUGAAACUGGCAGUCUCGAGUUGGAGAGAAGUAUGCGGAAUGCGCGGUGUAGCGGUGAAAUGCAUAGAUAUCGCGCAGAACUCCGAUUGCGAAGGCAGCAUGCCGGCUCCACACUGACGCUGAGGCACGAAAGCGUGGGUAUCGAACAGG
rnacentral:rRNA from 1 species